GGACCUGAGAAAGUUGGGUGAUGCAGUAAACCUUGAUGGUGGUGAAGCGAGGUUCUUGAGGUCUAUUGCCCAGGAUGUGGGUAUUGAAGAGGCAUUUGUG